rnacentral:rRNA from 1 species
UUAAAUUGAAGAGUUUGAUCAUGGCUCAGAUUGAACGCUGGCGGCAGGCUUAACACAUGCAAGUCGAACGGUAACAUGAGUGCUUGCACUUGAUGACGAGUGGCGGACGGGUGAGUAAUGUAUGGGGAUCUGCCGAGUGGCGAGGGACAACAGUUGGAAACGACUGCUAAUACCUCAUAAAGUUGAGAAACCAAAGCAUGGGACCUUCGGGCCAUGUGCCAUUUGAUGAACCCAUAUGGGAUUAGCUGGUUGGUGAGGUAAGGGCUCACCAAGGCGACGAUCUCUAGCUGGUCUGAGAGGAUGACCAGCCACACUGGAACUGAGACACGGUCCAGACUCCUACGGGAGGCAGCAGUGGGGAAUAUUGCACAAUGGGGGAAACCCUGAUGCAGCCAUGCCGCGUGUAUGAAGAAGGCCUUCGGGUUGUAAAGUACUUUCGGUAAUGAGGAAGGUGGUGUAUCUAAUAGGUGCGCCAAUUGACGUUAAUUACAGAAGAAGCACCGGCUAACUCCGUGCCAGCAGCCGCGGUAAUACGGAGGGUGCGAGCGUUAAUCGGAAUGACUGGGCGUAAAGGGCAUGUAGGCGGAUGAUUAAGUUAGGUGUGAAAGCCCUGGGCUUAACCUAGGAAUUGCACUUAAAACUGGUCAUCUGGAGUAUUGUAGAGGAAGGUAGAAUUCCACGUGUAGCGGUGAAAUGCGUAGAGAUGUGGAGGAAUACCGGUGGCGAAGGCGGCCUUCUGGACAGAUACUGACGCUGAGAUGCGAAAGCGUGGGGAGCAAACAGGAUUAGAUACCCUGGUAGUCCACGCUGUAAACGAUGUCGAUUUGGAGUUUGUUGCCUAGAGUGAUGGGCUCCGAAGCUAACGCGAUAAAUCGACCGCCUGGGGAGUACGGCCGCAAGGUUAAAACUCAA